rnacentral:misc_RNA from 1 species
GUAUUUUUUUUUUUACCUGCAUUUGGAUUCUUCAUGAAGACAACGUUAAAAUGUCUCCAAUUAAUUCAUCAGUGUCUGACAGUAGUAUUAAGAAUUAAGUAUUUAAGACAGCUUUAAGGCGCACAAAAAAUUAAUCGUAAGGAUGUUUUUACAUAUAUUUAACAGAAAUAGAAAUGUGUGAUAUAUUUAAGGAGGAAUUCAGGUUGGCACAUUUCGGAUUGUCUCACAACCGUCGUGAAGACUUCAUAUCUUGUCAAUGGAAAUGGCAUCCGUUGGUGUACGUCAUAUACCGGAUUUUAGCGGCGGCAUAUCUGACGGUGUUUUCCAUCACUAUAGCAAUCAUCUCCUCACUAGAUGGCAACACUACUUCCAUGGCGUAUUUGACAUUGUGGACAUACCUGUUGUUGACCUUGUACUUCCUGUUUUCGGCCAUAGCUGUCGUCUUCUACACAUGCUGUAGAAGAGAGCUGCGACAAAGUGGGCACCAGGUAAUACUGUACACAUCAUCUGAGACACAAAAGGAAGCCAUACAAGGAUAUAAUAACAUUGCUUUUGUUGAAAAUGGUGUCAAGAAUCCCGAACGGGAUGGGACAAGUGUUUCUAACGAGUUUCCUAAUGAAACAAACAGCUACGCAAAGACACAAAAUAAUGACAAUGACAAUCUGCAUGAAGAAAUCACAUCUUUUAUGAAAAUAUGUUGGGUACUUGGAAAUACGGUCCAGGUUUUUGCCAUUGAAGUCACGCUAGUCUAUUUUACAGCUUUUUUUCCUCUUGUAGGGUACACAAAUUUCGUAGAUGUUAACUUGCAUGGUGUUAACAGUUUUCUCAUAAUUGUUGACACGUGCCUUUCUUCGAGACCAGUUCGCCUUUUACAUGUGAUUCACCCUGUGAUUUACGGCGUGUGCUAUCUUAUAUUCAGCGCCAUCUAUUGGAGUUUUGAUCACGUGAAUAAUGUGCUGUAUCCGGGUGUACUUGAUUGGAAUUAUCCCGGGACCACGGCGAUAUGGUUUGCUGGCUUAACUUUUGUAGGCAUACCACUGUUACAGUUGGCUCAUUUUGGUGCAUAUCGUUUAAAAUUACAUAUCUCCAGUCGAGAAUAACGAGCAGGUUGAAAUAUAGUCAGAAUCUCUGUCAUAGAGACCGAAACUGAAAACUGAGACAAAAAGUCCUAAAACCAAACAUGAAAUGAAUAAACGGGCAUCUAAUGUAUCUUUUCGGUAUAGAGACGAUCGAAAAUUUGACGUCAGCAGGUACACUAUAUUUGAAGGCAUGAUAAUUGCCAUCUUAAAUUACUUAUUUGAAGGUGUUGUGAGAAUUGACGCCGACGAAUAUAUGUCAGUAGCAGUGAUCAGUUAAAUGGAAUAGCCCGUCUUAAUACGCUUUUCAAGAUCCAGAACAACCUAGUAGAAGUACUGCGAAACCCGAUACGACAAAGUGAUGCUCGAACCAGAGGAUCAAACAGCCUGUACCAGAGCCACUAACGACAUCUACAGGCUUUCUUUCUUUCAGUGAUUGGAAUCGGCUGCCUUGUAAUGUAACAGGUUUGAAAGAAAACCUGGCCAGUUAACAAAUCUAUAUAAAGUCUGAAACUGGGAAUCUGCUGUCAAAAUCUAGGCUACUGGAUCAAACCUGAAGAGCAGUUUAGGAGAUGCGGGAACAAUAUUUAUUAUCUUCAGACUGCAUGUCAGUUAUUAAAUAAAACACCGGAACAAAAGGAAAGCCACAGUCACUGUUUGAAUUGAUUUUUAGCUCCACUAUUCGAAGAAUAGGAGAGCUAUCCUACUCGCCCCGGCGUCGGCGUGAGCGUGAUCGUGAGCGUUAGCGUGAGCGUCACACAAAUGUUAAAGUUUGCGUACCAC